rnacentral:rRNA from 1 species
UGAUGAAGGCUUUCGGGUCGUAAAGCACUGUCAGGAGGGAAGAAGAAAGUGACGGUACCUCCAAAGGAAGCACCGGCUAACUCCGUGCCAGCAGCCGCGGUAAUACGGAGGGUGCAAGCGUUGUUCGGAAUUAUUGGGCGUAAAGCGCGCGCAGGCGGCUUGCCAAGUCUGAUGUGAAAGCCCAGGGCUCAACCUUGGAUGUGCAUUGGAAACUGGCAGGCUUGAGUAUGUGAGGGGUCAGUGGAAUUCCUGGUGUAGGAGUGAAAUCCGUAGAGAUCAGGAGGAACACCAGUGGCGAAGGCGACUGACUGGAACAUUACUGACGCUGAGGCGCGAAAGCGUGGGUAGCAAACAGGAUUAGAUACCCUGGUAGUCCACGCCGUAAACGAUGUUCACUAGCUGCUGUGUCCUUAGAUGAUGCAGUGGCGUAGCUAACGCGUUAAGUGAACCGCCUGGGGAGUACG